UGGUCUUCAAUGAGGAAUUCCUAGUAAGCGCGAGUCAUCAGCUCAAGUUGACUAUGUCCCUACCCUUUGUAGACACCAACCAUCGCUCCUACCGAUUGAAUGAUCUGGUGAAAUAUUCAAACCACACCGACUUAGGUAGUUUGUUUUCACUCCAUGAGGCACUGUCUACAAUUCGGGUUGUUUGGGAAUACAUCCCAAAUUGGGUGGUGAAUUCCAUCCAAGGCUAAAUAUGGUCAAGAGAACCAUAGGUAACAAGCACUAUAAUGGAAAGAUUAAAAGGACUUUGAAAAGAGAGCCAAAGAGUGCUUGAAAUUGUUGGGAAGGAAGUGGAUGGGAGCUGAUGAUGCAUCCCGAUCGAAUGUGGAAUGGCGACAUGCUAAUCCACUGAUCGACUGAGGGCAUGGACUAUAAUAUAUUGGGGACGCGUCCAAAUCUCGAGCUCUAGAUACCCUCGUGAAACAUUGUCUCCUUAAUUAUGACAGGCAACGCGCACCUAUGGCGUGUAUCGAUAUUUGCACACUCCAAAAAUUGUUCUGUGGGCUCCCUAUUCAACCCAUCUUGAAAUAUGGACCAAGGAGUCUGACAUGUGUGCGAGUCAAUGGGAGAGUAAGCCCGUAAAAUGUAAAGAAGCAAUUUGGUGGGAUCUCCCUUAAGGGUGCACCACUAACCGACCUUGACCUUCUGAGAAGGGUUUGAGUGUCAGAAUACUUAUCGGGACCCAAGAGAUGGUGAACUAUUCCUUAUUUGGGCGAAGCCAGAGAAAAAUCUUGUAGAGAUCCGUAGCGAUACUGACGUGCAAAUCAUUCAUCCGACUUAGGUAUAGGGAAAAAAUACUAAUUGAACCAUCUAGUAGCUGGUUUAAUCCAAAGUUUCCCUCAGGAUAGCUGGAGUUCGCGUGCAAGUUCAAUCGGGUAAAGCUAAUGAUUAGAGGCAUCGGGGGCCUAAUACACUCGACCUAUUCUUAAACUUUAAAUAGGUAGGAUAGUGCAACAUCUUUGUUGAGCCUCACCAUAGAAUCAAGAGCUCCAAGUGGGCCAUUUUUGGUAAGCAGACCUGGAGAUGCUGGAUGAAUCGGAAGUUAAGUUACGCUGCCAAACAAUGCGCUAACCUAGAUCCCGCAAAGGUUGUUGGUCAAUUAAGCUAGCAGGACGGUGGUCAUGCAAGUAGCAAUUCACUAAGGAGUGUGUAAAAACUCACCUGCCGAAUUAACUAGACCCAAAAAUGGAUAGCACUUAAGCGCACGACCUAUACCCGGCUGUUAAGGCAAGUGCGAGGCCCCGAUAAGUAUGAGGGUGCCGCGGUCGCUGCAAAACCUUGGUCACGAUCUUGGGUUGAGUAAUCAUUGAUGCAGAUCUUGGUUCUAGUAGAAAAUAUUCAAUUAAGAACUUAGAAGGACAAAAAGGAGAAAUAUUCUAUAGGAACAGCACUUGCACAUGAGUUAGUCAAUCCUAAGGGACGGGGGAACCCCAAAAGAUAGUGCAUUUCGCACAUACUUCAAAGGGGAAUAGGGUUAAAAUUCCUAAAUAGGGACUUGGUAGUUGAAAACAACAUUAAGAAGUUAGUAAACAUCAGUAGGAGCCUCAAGAAGAGUUAUCUUUACUAUUUAAUAGCCUGCUCACCCAGAAUUGGCUUAGUCGGAGGUAGGGUUCAGCUGCUGGAAGAGCACUACACAUCACGUAGUGUUCAUUCCAAUCCCAUAGGCCCUUGAAAAUCCAGAGGACUGACGGUCAUACAUUCUCAGUCAUACUUAUAACCGGAUCAAGUCUCCAAGGUGAACAGCCUUUGGUCGAUGGAAUAAUGUAGGCAAGGAAAGUUGGCAAUAUGGAUCGGUAACUUUGGGUAAAUAAUUGGCUCUGAGGGUUGGUAAUAAGGUUCUUUGUACCGAACAAAUCAGAAAUUGGGGGACUUCUCGAGAUUUACCUAUGGCAAAAGCAAGUCACCUCGUACCGACUGGUUAACAAAAUUAGAACGGUUCCUUCAAGGGCCUUCUCCACAUGUCGAACAGCCAACUCAGAGAUAGUACAGACAAGGGGAAACCUUCUGUGCAAUUAAAACAAAGAAUUGCGAUGGUCGCAACGGAUGUUCACACAUUAUGAUUUCGGCCCAGUCUCUGAAUAUCAAAGUGAAGAAAUUCAACCAAGCAUGGGUAAACGGCUAGAGUAACUAUGACUCUCUUAAAGUAGUCAAAUGCUUCAUCAUCUAUUUAGUGAUGCCCAUAAUUGGAAUAAUGAGAUUCCCACCAUCCCUGUCCAUGAUACAGUAACACCACAGUCAAGGGAACGGGCAUGGCAGAGUCAACAGGUUAGAAGACCCUGUUGUGCUAGACCCUAGUCUGACUUUGUGAAAUGCCUUGAGAGGUGUAGUAUAAGUGAGAACCAAAAGUUGAAAGUGAAAUACCACUACUUUUAAUGUUAUUUUACUUAUUUCGUGAUCAUAAGUGGGACACUGCCCCUCUUGUUUGAACCAAGGCUCACUUUGUGGGCCGAUAUGGGCAGAAGAUAUUCUCAAGAAGGGGGUUUAGCUGGGGUGGCAGAUCUUUUAACAUAUAAUGCAAGUAUCCUAAGAUGAGCUUAACGAGAACAGAAAUUUUGUGUGGAAUAGAAGGGUAAAAUCUCGUUUGAUUCUAAUUUCCAGUAAGAAUAUGAACCGUCAAUGUGUGGCCUAACGAUCCUUGAGUCCUUUAAAAUUCGAAGAUAGAGGUUUCAGAAAAGUUACCACAGGGAUAAUUGUCUUGUGGCAGCCAAGCAUUCAUAGCGACAUUGCUUUUUGAUCCUUCGAUCUCUGUUCUUUCUAUCUUUGUGAAGAAAAAUUCACCAAAUGUUGGAUUGUUCACCCAUAAAUAGGGAACGUGAGCUCGGUUUAGAAAAUCAUGAGAUAGGUUUUUUUUACCCUCCUGAUGAUAAUUUCACAAUAGUAAUUUAGCCUAGUAUGAUAGGAACUGUUGAUUCACACAAUUGGUCAUCGCACUUGGUUUAAAAGCGAGUGGCGCGAAGUUACCGUAUGCUAGAUUAGAACUGAAUGCAUCUAAGUAAUAAUUUGGGAUAAAAGCGAUGCAUGUGCCUAUCGUCCAUUUGCUGACCAGCAGUAGGUGCCUCGACCCCUUAGAGCACGUGUCAUUGGCUAAGCAAUCACGGAAAAAAGGUCCCGGUUGCCGCCUUGAAGUAUACUUUUCAUCGUGUGGUAGGUACAACCCAUUGCAGAUGACUUCAAAGUACGACGGGGUAUGUAAACGGUAGAGUGGCCUUGCUGCCACAAUCCACUGAGAUUCAGCCCCUUCUCCCUCAGGUUCGU
rnacentral:rRNA from 1 species